GUGAAGGAGGCUAAGAGAACAAAGGAAAUAAGGCUGGUCUUUGGAACAAUGGUGUUUUUCUCCCCAUCAGAAAAAGCAGGAAUUACAUGGCUGGAAGCUGUUGCUGAAAUGGUUUUUGUUAGACAAUGUAAUCUUCAUCUCAUAAAUUUCAGUGAUGCUCCAAGACCAUCUCAAACUGGCUUCAGCUUCCAAUCUUCAUUCAGCAUGGUAAGUCUGCAUUAUGCUUCCAAUAUUAUGCGUGCCUCAUAGCAUUCCUUGAUAUCUGUUCACAAACCAGCAGAGAUAUCUACAGAAUAAAUC